UUUUCACCGGAGGGAUUUGAUAGUUAACGGACGUUUCUGGACUGUUUCAGACGCAAGGAGAAUUUCUCCUGGUUGUAUUUGUUGUUAGAAUCAGCUUGAUAAGGUAUUGUGUAGUGUGGAAUCAUGGCGAUGAGGAGGAGG